rnacentral:rRNA from 1 species
UACGUAGGGUCCAAGCGUUAUCCGGAAUCACUGGGCGUAAAGCGUGCGUAGGUGGUUGUUUAAGUGAGUUGUUAAAUCGUGGGGCUCAACCCCGUCGAUGCAAUUCAUACUGGAUAUCUAGAGGACUGGAGAGGAGAUUGGAAUUCUCGGUGUAGCAGUGAAAUGCGUAGAUAUCGAGAGGAACACCUGUGGCGAAAGCGAAUCUCUGGACAGUUCCUGACGCUGAGGCUCGAAGGCUAGGGUAGCGAAAGGG